UACGCUGGCGGCACGCCUAACACAUGCAAGUCGAACGCAGUAGCAAUACUGAGUGGCAAACGGGUGAGUAUAAUGUGGGAAUCUGCCUUUUGGUUUGGAAUAACACGGGGAAACUUGUGCUAAUACCGAAUAAGCCCUUACGGGGAAAGUUUUAACGCCGAAAGAUGAGCCCGCACUUGAUUAGCUAGUUGGUAGGGUAAAAGCUUACCAAGGCAACGAUCAAUAGCUGUUCUUAGAGGAAGACCAGCCACAUUGGGACUGAGACACGGCCCAGACUCCUACGGGAGGCAGCAGUGGGGAAUCUUGCACAAUGGGGGAAACCCUGAUGCAGCGAUGCCGCGUGAGUGAAGAAGGCCUUUGGGUUGUAAAACUCUUUCGUCGGGGAAGAAAAUGACUGUACCCGAAUAAGAAGGUCCGG
rnacentral:rRNA from 1 species